CCUACGGGUGGCUGCAGUAAGGAAUAUUCGUCAAUGGGCGCGAGCCUGAACCAGCCAAGUAGCGUGAAGGAUGACUGCCCUCCGGGUUGUAAACUUCUUUUAUAAAGGAAUACAGUGAGGCAAGUGUGCCUUUUUGUAUGUACUUUAUGAAUAAGGAUAGGCUAACUCCGUGACAGCAGCCGCGGUAAUACGGAGGAUCCGAGCGUUGUCCGGAUUUAUUGGGUUUAAAGGGAGCGUAGAUGGGUUGUUAAGUCAGUUGUGAAAGUUUGCGGCUCAACCGUAAAAUUGCAAUUGAUACUGGCAGUCUUGAGUACAGUUGAGGUAGGCGGAAUUCGUGGUGUAGCGGUGAAAUGCUGAGAGAUCACGAAGAACUCCGAUGGCGAAGGCAGCUUACUAAUCUGCCACUGACAUUGAUGCUCGAAAGUGUGGGUAUCAAACAGGAUUAGAUACCCUGGUAGUC
rnacentral:rRNA from 1 species